rnacentral:rRNA from 1 species
AUGAUCGCAACUUCAGGCAGGUUGAGAACAGGAGAGCCAAACUUGCCACCGAUGGCGCCUAUGUUGCUCAGUGUUAUGGUUCCACCAGUGAUAUCGUUGGUGCUUAGUCUGUUUUGCAGUGCCAUCUCAUGUAAUCUUGACAAUUCCUUUGUGAUCUGGUGUAAUCAUGGAAAAAACAUUGGGCAGGCAAGCCACAAAAGGAACUAUGUCCAAAUGAAGAUGUGA